rnacentral:rRNA from 1 species
GACGAACGCUGGCGGCGUGCCUAAUACAUGCAAGUAGAACGCUGAAGAGAGGAGCUUGCUCUUCUUGGAUGAGUUGCGAACGGGUGAGUAACGCGUAGGUAACCUGCCUUGUAGCGGGGGAUAACUAUUGGAAACGAUAGCUAAUACCGCAUAACAAUGGAUGACACAUGUCAUUUAUUUGAAAGGGGCAAUUGCUCCACUACAAGAUGGACCUGCGUUGUAUUAGCUAGUAGGUGAGGUAAUGGCUCACCUAGGCGACGAUACAUAGCCGACCUGAGAGGGUGAUCGGCCACACUGGGACUGAGACACGGCCCAGACUCCUACGGGAGGCAGCAGUAGGGAAUCUUCGGCAAUGGGGGCAACCCUGACCGAGCAACGCCGCGUGAGUGAAGAAGGUUUUCGGAUCGUAAAGCUCUGUUGUAAGUCAAGAACGGGUGUGAGAGUGGAAAGUUCACACUGUGACGGUAGCUUACCAGAAAGGGACGGCUAACUACGUGCCAGCAGCCGCGGUAAUACGUAGGUCCCGAGCGUUGUCCGGAUUUAUUGGGCGUAAAGCGAGCGCAGGCGGUUUGAUAAGUCUGAAGUUAAAGACUGUGGCUCAACCAUAGUUCGCUUUGGAAACUGUCAAACUUGAGUGCAGAAGGGGAGAGUGGAAUUCCAUGUGUAGCGGUGAAAUGCGUAGAUAUAUGGAGGAACACCGGUGGCGAAAGCGGCUCUCUGGUCUGUAACUGACGCUGAGGCUCGAAAGCGUGGGGAGCGAACAGGAUUAGAUACCCUGGUAGUCCACGCCGUAAACGAUGAGUGCUAGGUGUUGGAUCCUUUCCGGGAUUCAGUGCCGCAGCUAACGCAUUAAGCACUCCGCCUGGGGAGUACGACCGCAAGGUUGAAACUCAAAGGAAUUGACGGGGGCCCGCACAAGCGGUGGAGCAUGUGGUUUAAUUCGAAGCAACGCGAAGAACCUUACCAGGUCUUGACAUCCCGAUGCUAUUUCUAGAGAUAGAAAGUUACUUCGGUACAUCGGUGACAGGUGGUGCAUGGUUGUCGUCAGCUCGUGUCGUGAGAUGUUGGGUUAAGUCCCGCAACGAGCGCAACCCCUAUUGUUAGUUGCCAUCAUUCAGUUGGGCACUCUAGCGAGACUGCCGGUAAUAAACCGGAGGAAGGUGGGGAUGACGUCAAAUCAUCAUGCCCCUUAUGACCUGGGCUACACACGUGCUACAAUGGUUGGUACAACGAGUUGCGAGUCGGUGACGGCGAGCUAAUCUCUUAAAGCCAAUCUCAGUUCGGAUUGUAGGCUGCAACUCGCCUACAUGAAGUCGGAAUCGCUAGUAAUCGCGGAUCAGCACGCCGCGGUGAAUACGUUCCCGGGCCU